CACACACACACACACACACACACACACACACACACACACACACACACACACACACCACGCAUCACACACACACCACGCAUCACACACACACACACAACCACUCAAUCUCUUCUCCUCAAACCCACUGGAGGUUAGAAUGGUUUCUGGGUCAUACCGAACGCUCAGAAGGAUUCUAUCAUUCUAUCUGGAGGUUAGAAUGGUUUCUGGGUCAUUUGGAACACUCAGAAGGUUUCUAUCAUUCUAUCUGGAGGUUAGAAUGGUUUCUGUGUCAUUUGGAACACUCAGAAGGAUUCUAUCAUUCUAUCUGGAGGUUAGAAUGGUUUCUGGGUCAUUUGGAACACCCAGAAGGAUUCUAUCAUUCUAUCUGGAGGUUAGAAUGGUUUCUGGGUCAUUUGGAACACUCGGAGGGAUUCUAUCAUUCUAUCUGGAGGUUAGAAUGGUUUCUGGGUCAUUUGGAACACUCGGAGGGAUUCUAUCAUUCUAUCUGGAGGUUAGAAUGGUUUCUGCGUCAUUUGGAACACUCAGAGGUCCCUCUAUCUGGAGGUUAGAAUGGUUUCUGGGUCAUUUGGAACACUCAGAGGGUUUCUAUCAUUCUAUCUGGAGGUUAGAAUGGUUCCUGGGUCAUUUGGAACACUCAGAAGGAUUCUAUCAUUCUAUCUGGAGGUUAGAAUGGUUUCUGGGUCAUUUGGAACACUCAGAAGGAUUAUAUCAUUCUAUCUGGAGGUUAGAAUGGUUUCUGGGUCAUUUGGAACACUCGGAGGGAUUCUAUCAUUCUAUCUGGAGGUUACAAUGGUUUCUGGGUCAUUUGGAACACUCAGAAGGAUUCUAUCAUUCUAUCUGGAGGUUACAAUGGUUUCUGGGUCAUUUGGAACACUCGGAGGGAUUCUAUCAUUCUAUCUG